UACGUAGGGGGCCAGCGUUGUCCGGACUUACUGGGCGUAAAGCGCGCGCAGGUGGCAUCGGAUGUGCCGCGUGAAAGCGCCGGGCUAACCCCGGCGAGGUCGUGGUAGACACCGAUACUUGAGGCUUGGAGAGGCUAGUGGAAUUCCGGGUGGAGCGGUGAAAUGCGUAGAUAUCCGGAGGAACACCAGGGGCGAAAGCGGCUAGCUGGCCAAGUUCUGACACUGAGGCGCGAAGGCGUGGGGAGCAAACCGG
rnacentral:rRNA from 1 species